GUGUGUGUACAAAGAAGAGAAGAUUGGCAUCUCCCCUGACAAAGACGGGAACGAUUUUCGGGCUUUCCUUCAAGUAUAUAUAUAUAUAUAUAUAUAUAUAUAUAUAUAUAUAUAUAUAU